rnacentral:rRNA from 1 species
GGAGCAUGUGGUUUAAUUCGAAGCAACGCGAAGAACCUUACCAGGUCUUGACAUCCUUUGACCACUCUAGAGAUAGAGCUUCCCCUUCGGGGGCAAAGUGACAGGUGGUGCAUGGUUGUCGUCAGCUCGUGUCGUGAGAUGUUGGGUUAAGUCCCGCAACGAGCGCAACCCUUAUUGUUAGUUGCCAUCAUUCAGUUGGGCACUCUAGCAAGACUGCCGGUGACAAACCGGAGGAAGGUGGGGAUGACGUCAAAUCAUCAUGCCCCUUAUGACCUGGGCUACACACGUGCUACAAUGGGAAGUACAACGAGUUGCGAAGUCGCGAGGCUAAGCUAAUCUCUUAAAGCUUCUCUCAGUUCGGAUUGCAGGCUGCAACUCGCCUGCAUGAAGCCGGAAUCGCUAGUAAUCGCGGAUCAGCACGCCGCGGUGAAUACGUUCCCGGGCCUUGUACACACCGCCCGUCACACCACGAGAGUUUGUAACACCCGAAGUCGGUGAGGUAACCU